rnacentral:rRNA from 1 species
CACGUAGGGCGCGAAGCGUUGUCCGGAAUUAUUGGGCGUAAAGAGCUCGUAGGCGGUCUGUUACGUCUGCUGUGAAAACCCUGGGCUUAACCCUGGGCUUGCAGUGGAUACGGGCAGACUAGAGGCAGGUAGGGGAGAAUGGAAUUCCCGGUGUAGCGGUGAAAUGCGCAGAUAUCGGGAGGAACACCGGUGGCGAAGGCGGUUCUCUGGGCCUGACCUGACGCUGAGGAGCGAAAGCGUGGGGA